UACGGGGGGUGUAAGCGUUGUUCGGAAUUACUGGGCGUAAAGGGCGUGCAGGCGGCCGCUGCAAGUUGGAUGUGAAAUCCCCGGGCUUAACCUGGGACGUGCGUCCAAGACUGCGGGGCUUGAAUACGGGAGAGGGUUGUGGAAUUCCUGGUGUAGAGGUGAAAUUCGUAGAUAUCAGGAGGAACACUCGUGGCGAAGGCGACAACCUGGACCGAUAUUGACGCUGAGACGCGAAAGCGUGGGUA
rnacentral:rRNA from 1 species